rnacentral:rRNA from 1 species
AGCGAACGCUGGCGGCAGGCCUAACACAUGCAAGUCGAACGACCUCUUCGUAGUUACUUGCUGACGGGUGUGUAACAUGUGGGAACGUUCCUUUUUGCUCGGAAUUACUCAUUGACACUUGUGCUAAUACCGAAUGUGCCCCUCUGGUGAAAGAUUUAUCGUCAUUCUAGCGGCACGCGUUGGUUUAGCCUGUUGGUGUGGUAACGGCUAAUCAAGGCGACGAUCAUUAGCUGGUUUGAGAGGAUGACCAGCCACACUGAGACUCAGACGCGGCCGAGACUACUACGGGAGGGAGGAGUGGGGAAUCUAGCGCAAUCGGGGAAGGGCUGACGGAGCCAGGCCGCGUGAAUGAUGAAGGUCGUAGGAUAGAAAAAUUCUUUCACCGGGGACGAUAAUGACGGUACCCGAAGAAGAAGCCCCGGCUAACUUCGUG